rnacentral:rRNA from 1 species
UUUUUGGAGAGUUUGAUCUUGGCUCAGGACGAACGCUGGCGGCGUGCCUAAUACAUGCAAGUCGAGCGCUGGAAGCUAAUUUCAUCCCUUCGGGAUGAAAUUAGUGGAAAGAGCGGCGGACGGGUGAGUAACACGUGGGCAACCUACCUAUAAGACUGGGAUAACUCGCGGAAACGUGAGCUAAUACCGGAUAAUACUUUUUAUUGCAUAGUAAGAAGUUUGAAAGGCGGCGUAAGCUGUCACUUAUAGAUGGGCCCGCGGCGCAUUAGCUAGUUGGUGAGGUAAAGGCUCACCAAGGCAACGAUGCGUAGCCGACCUGAGAGGGUGAUCGGCCACACUGGGACUGAGACACGGCCCAGACUCCUACGGGAGGCAGCAGUAGGGAAUCUUCCGCAAUGGACGAAAGUCUGACGGAGCAACGCCGCGUGAGUGAAGAAGG